rnacentral:rRNA from 1 species
UACGAAGGGGGCUAGCGUUGUUCGGAAUUACUGGGCGUAAAGCGCACGUAGGCGGAUCGAUCAGUCAGGGGUGAAAUCCCAGGACUCAACCCUGGAACUGCCUUUGAUACUGUCGAUCUGGAGUAUGGAAGAGGUGAGUGGAAUUCCGAGUGUAGAGGUGAAAUUCGUAGAUAUUCGGAGGAACACCAGUGGCGAAGGCGGCUCACUGGUCCAUUACUGACGCUGAGGUGCGAAAGCGUGGGGAGCAAACAGG